GUGUACUCAACAAAAGAUAAAUUUUAGUUAAGUCAAACCCAUCAUUCAGAAAUAUCAAAUAUUUCAUAGUGUCAAACAUAUCCCUAAUGGACCAGCCUUGAGUGUACUCAACAAACUGAGACGAUUUAGGAUUCUCGUUUUUCACUAUAAUGAUGGAAGGUGAUUACAAAUGUGACUUAAUAUUUUAUUGAGGGGAUUUGCAUACAACUCUUAGAUCAUUAAGUUGACAACUCCUUGUCCUCACAUAUUUUAUCAUGUCUCUAAAAUCUAUCUCCUUGAGUGUACUCAACAAAAGAUAAACUUUAGUUAAGUCGGACCCAUCAUUCAGAAACAUCUGAUAUUUCAUAGUGUCAGAC
rnacentral:lncRNA from 1 species